rnacentral:tRNA from 1 species
CGCGGGGUGGAGCAGCCUGGUAGCUCGUCGGGCUCAUAACCCGAAGGUCGUCGGUUCAAAUCCGGCCUCCGCA